rnacentral:misc_RNA from 1 species
GAUGAAGAACGUAGCGAAAUGCGAUAAGUAAUGUGAAUUGCAGAAUUCAGUGAAUCAUCGAAUCUUUGAACGCACAUUGCGCCCGCCAGUAUUCUGGCGGGCAUGCCUGUCUGAGCGUCAUUUCAACCCUCAAGCAACUUCUGCUUGGUGUUGGGGAUCGGCCGUCAAACGCCGCCCCCGAAAUCUAUUGGCGAUCUCGCUGUAGCUUCCUAUGCGUAGUAGUAACAUCUCGCAUCUGGAGAGCGGCGCGGUCAUGCCGUAAAACACCCAACUUCUCAGGUUGACCUCAGAUCAGGUAGGAAUACCCACUGAACUUAAGCAUAUCAAUAAGCGGAGGA